rnacentral:rRNA from 1 species
UGGGGAAUAUUGGACAAUGGGCGAAAGCCUGAUCCAGCCAUGCCGCGUGUGUGAAGAAGGUCUUCGGAUUGUAAAGCACUUUAUGUUGGGAGGAAGGGCAGUAAGCGAAUACCUUGCUGUUUUGACGUUACCGACAGAAUAAGCACCGGCUAACUCUGUGCCAGCAGCCGCGGUAAUACAGAGGGUGCAAGCGUUAAUCGGAAUUACUGGGCGUAAAGCGCGCGUAGGUGGUUCGUUAAGUUGAAUGUGAAAGCCCCGGGCUCAACCUGGGAACUGCAUCCAAAACUGGCGAGCUAGAGUGGGGCAGAGGGUGGUGGAAUUUCCUGUGUAGCGGUGAAAUGCGUAGAUAUAGGAAGGAACACCAGUGGCGAAGGCGACCACCUGGGCUCAUACUGACACUGAGGUGCGAAAGCGUGGGGAGCAAACAGG